GCACGUUUGUCGCUGUUCGUGUGUGGUUCAAUGGUGUGCGAACGCAUCAGCACGAAGUGAGCCAUGCGACGUGAAAUUCUUCCGCAUCCAUAAAGUCAACAGGUGUGUUUCCAGAAGUGCCUCAUCGAGGUAGAGCUGCGGAAAUGCGGCUGCGCCUUCUACACCCGAGAGCUCUCACCUUCCUUCACCACCAAGAUAUGCUCGCUCACGCAAAUGAAUGACUGUAUCGCUGAAACCAAGGACAGCGGCCACUAUGACCAUUGCGAGACA